rnacentral:lncRNA from 1 species
GGGUUUGUCUCCCAAAACCUAUAGAGUGUCUCACCAUAACCUGAAACUCCAGCAACACCAGGACUUAUGACCUCUGAAGACACCAGGCAGCCAUGGCAUGCAACACACACAUGCAGAUGCACCCCCGCCCCCAUCCUCAGGGCUCAGAGGAAGUCCAUGAAAUGAAAUGCUGGCAGAAUGGAUGCUCCAUGAACACGCAGGUUUUACCUAACAAGCAGAACCUGGAAGCCACUUAUCCCAAGCCCUAGCUAGGCUACAAGAGCUUUCCAUGAGUGUCUGAAACAAAGCUGGCCCAGGACAGAGAGGUAGCUGGCACCGGAAUAAGACCCAGAGAUGAUCCAGAACUAUUCAAGCAUGUUUACAUUUACAAGGGAAGGACAGGAGGAGACCCUGUGCCCCAGAAUACAAGUGGAAGCCUAGAACAUGUUUCGAAGACUCGCCAUCUUCUUUCUGGGCAAGGCACUUCACAUCAGCACUUGAGAGGCAGUGGCAGAGGACUGCCUUCAUCUCCACCUUGGAUUACAUAGUGAAUUGGCACCCAGACCCCAGACUCUCACCUUGGACCAUUGCCUAGGUAGAAAUAAGACACCAGAGAGCUCCCUGCCAUGUUCCAGGCCUUCUCAGUAGAACAAAGCUGUACAUUCCCAAGUCAUCUGUGGCAGAGGGGUCACAAAGUCUGUUUCCCUGCUGAUGAGGCAAAGAGGGCCUGGGAUCCAAGCACACAGGAGCAAGAAGCAGGAGGUUUUCAACUUUGAGCCCCGACAACCCCAGUGCACCGAAUCUCUAGGAGGAAGGAGGCUGAGCACAGCAGAGAAGAAAGGUGUGGACCAGGUCCUUCAGCAGCCCUGAGAACUGAAAAGAGAGGAAGGCAGACCCUUCAUGAUGGAGACGGACAAGGCUUAUUCCCUGACUGUGUGCAUCUCCUGGAAAUAACUGCAGGAAAGCCAGAGGGAGCCUGUGUCUCUGUGAGUGACCACCAAGCUGUGGAGGCAAGGAAACAUGAGGGGGACAAGGAAAAGCCCACGGUCGCAGAAAGGACAGCUGGAUCUAAGGGAUAUGAGCUGAAAACAGAAGGGGAAGGAAGGGUGGUGUCGCAGAGCUGCUUCGCUCUGGGCUGCAGGGACACAGGAGGAACAAGGCAGGUCUACGUGACCCUUGUCUGUCUAGGGCUACCUCUUACCUGUGCUUCACAUGGCCAAGAGGAGGAAAAUGGACAUACUGGCAUGUUUAACAGGAAAUUGAGAAAGACACCAGAUCAUACAGAGUUGAGAAAACACCAGCCACUUAGCUUGGAAUAAAGACCCGCAAGUAGGAAGGUGGGGUACAAAAGAAGAUUGGGGUGAACCCAGGAGUAGCCCCAUCUCCAGUAGACCUAACCCACAUAUGUUUCCGCCAUACGGUCCCCCAGACCACAGAUGGAGUACUCCAGGCUUCCCAUCCCUGCCUGCUGGCUCUGUUCCUCCAUAGGAGAGUGAACACUGAAAGACAGCAAUGGCUGUCUCUUCCACAGCCUUCCCUGCUGAACCCUCAGGAUAGAUGAAAUUCCGAAGGGAAAGUUAAGGGGUCCCAUCGAGCAUGCCUGCUCAAGGACCCUAGUGUGCUCUGACUUUCCUCCUAACCCAUGCAGGAACGGGCCAUUCUGUAGCCCCCAGGGGGCCUCCACCAGCUCCUCUUCAUGUACCACACUGCCUACAGAAAGGCCCCGUACAAGGGCCGAUGAGAAGCAACCUGAGGGAGCUGUAAAUGUGGAAGAAGCCUGUGGAAGCCUCAAGGAAAUAGUGGCCUGGGGGCACAUCAAAGCCAGGGAGGGUACUGAAACUCCUCUGCCUCUGAACAACUCUCCAACAUGAAACAUUUCAACGUUUUCACAGAGGACUUGGGGUAGAAGUUUUGCUUCCUUAUACCCUUUCUCUGCUAAGGGAAGUCUACACAGGCCUGGUUCUGGGGACCCUUGAAAGCCAGGUCCAGCACCCCCUACCCCCCUAUCUCCAUUUUGCUGACUAUUUAGGGACUUUCCUAGUUGCUAUGAGUCUAGCCUGUCUUGGAUAUAGCCAGCUCUACAGACUGCUGAACAGCUGUGCCUACCCCUCUCCGCCCCCCCCACCCCCCCAGUCCUUCCCUCCAUUCCUGUCCUGGGCCUGCAACAAGGAUACUUUACAUGUAGAUCAAGAGUCUUUUCUCACUCCUCUUAGAUCACUGGGCAGGAAUGGUGGCAUUUGCUGCCUCUGCACAUGGUGGUAACUGGAUCAGCAGAGAGCCCCCCCCACAUCUUCCUACAAGGCCUGCGCCAUCCUGAAAUAGCCUGAAUGUAUGUAUGGUAUCUCCUGGAACAGAAGAAGCCAGCAUUUAAACAUCCUUGGUAUCUUGUUUAUGCUUGGUAGUUACCAACAAGGCAGGUGGGCUCUGGAGAGCCUCAUUCCUUACGAGGGCUCCCGGAUCAACAGCACACAUAGCUUCCGAGACUAGGGGCUGAGGUCAGCACCCACAUAGGCUGCUGCUGCUUGAUGGAUGUCCUUCACACAGCUGAGGUCUGCAGUCACAGGCUGGGCCCAGCUCCAGGACCCUAACCCUAGCCAUUUCCUUUUAUAGUAAGAAAAAAAUGAACCCAGAAAAAUGGUAGGGGCUGCAUGGGCAGACAAGGACCCAGGCGGACUAGGCACCCAGAUAGUCACAAGGGGAAACUAUGAAUCCUUGAGACUGAAUUCUGAAGAGGAAAUCAGGCAGAGUAAAACUCCCACAGGCUUACUGGCCACCCAGCCAGAGGACAGUCCAUUGCCUUCAUCUUCUGUAGUAGUGGCUGCCUGUGCAUUAUGGGAUAUUAUCAAAUGAUGGCAGUGCGCUAGUCACCCACAGGUAGAAUAUGCAUGCCCAUCUAUCCAAUAAGAAGUAAAAAUUAAAUGAUAACUUUAAAUUAUUUCAGUGAAGAAUGCUUUUGAUAUGUUAAAAAAAACUAACUGUGUGUGUGUGUGUGUGUGGUAAAUGCUUGCAGCAAAAUCUUAAGUAAAAACCAAUAUAAAAUUGUGUGUUGUAUUAUAACAAAAAUUUAAAAUUAGGACUAGUGAGGAGGUUCAGUGGGUAAAAAUGCUUUCUGCCAAACCUGACUAACUGAAUUCAACCUCAGACUCCAUGGUGGAAAGAGAAAAUCCAAUUACAACACGCUUGCGUGCGCGCGCGCACACACACACACACUCACACACACACAGACACACACUCACACACACUCACACAUACACACGCAAGUACACAAAUAUGCACACACACAUACAAACACAUAUAUAUGAAACUAUUCUUGAAAAUAUUUACGAAGGAAACAAGCUAAAAUUAUUAGAAAUGGUUAUCUCAAAGUAGUGAAAAAGAGGUUUUUUGUUUGUUUUUCCAUGCUGGGAUCAAACCUGGAGCCUAGCACAUUCUAGGCAAAUGCCCUACUGUGAAACUGUAAACCCACAGUGAGGGUUUUUAUGAAUGUUGUUUUUUUUUUUUUUUUCCUGUACUUGGCUGGUUUUUUACAAAAUUCUAAAGAGCUCUGUAAGUAGAGGGGGAAAAAUAGAUUAAGCAAAGGAAUAAUGGUGAAUUUAAAACAAGCACACUCUCUGAAGCCUCUCCAGGCACUGCUGUCCGUUGUCCCCAGGGUAAAGUCACUUCCAGCUGAAUUUGCUGCUUUUGAGGGGUGGACUUUACCUGAUGGCAUGGCAGGGGACAUCCUGUGCUGAUAAGAUGCCUGUGAUUGCAGGCAUCAGGAGGUCUGCAUCCUGGGACCUCUGUGGCAACCUCUACCCUUUCUACUCACUGCUAGCUGGAGACACAGAGCCUGUGUCCACACACACGUGCCUUUGCUGCCCAGGCCUAGGUUAAUGUUCAGUGAAACUCGCUAAGCCUCACAAAACCCUAACAGGCACUGGGUCCAUCCAGACUGACGCCUACCCAGAAAGCCAAGUGUUCCCUCUCACGAAAAACCCAAGUCUUCAGAGGAUUCUGGCAUAGACCAGAGUCCUUAGAGAUCUAAUGAAGCUCACAGCUCAAGAGAGAGAAUUGGGGGGGGGGGGGGGGAGACAGGGAAAACCUGUAGAGGACAGAGGUCGAAGAACAAAGAGGGUGGGCUGAGGGGCUGCAUGACUGUUAGGGACAGGGUGAGAAGAUUCCAAAGCUGGUGGAGAGAGGAAGAGAUAAGAAGGGUCAAGAUAAGAUAGCCCUUGUUUGUUCUCCAGGCAGGUUUGGAGGCUGGGGAACAGUGAAGUUUUAGCUUUCCCCUCCACGUUGUCUUCCAGGGUAAUCUCUGCUCAGCAGAAAGAUCCAGAGCCACCAAGCCACCAUUUUCCUUCAUUCAGAUUCCCAGACUACCCUUCAGCAAAAAGCAGAAGACUCUUGUGUCAUGGAUAGCCCCUGAUGGCAUCUUUAGCCAAAGCAGGGGGUUGGAGGGGUUGUCUGUGAUGUAGAGAGCACACCAGUCACCAGUCACUCAUGUCUACUUCUUCCUACCCACCUGAGGUUGGUAGGGGUGGGGACCGGGGGUAGCUGUGUCAGACCUAGAUGACACUCUCCCUUGGAUGGGUUACACUGAAAAGACCUAAACCUAAGAGAUCCUUGUGGAAACAGUGGACUACUGAGGAAGUCGGGGUCUUCCCAGAAGUCAUUAGAGACUCGGGAAACCAUCUCCUCCGGAAGGGAGGAGCAGAGCCCAGAGAGGCCAGGGCGGUGCUGGAUCCAGGCACAGCCACAGAGACCAGCAGGUUCAGUGCGAGCGUGCUGCCAUCGUGUGGAGGUCUGACCCAGAAGGUCCCCAAGGGUCUUGGGACACCCCCUGUGCCCCCAGUGAGAACCUCACAGGCCAUGGUACCUCUGCCCCUAGACCACAGGCCUAAAUGGGCCCAGAAGGUUUUGGCAGUGUGACUUGGCUGGGUUAUGGCAUUCUGGGGCCUCAUACUUUCCAGGAUAGAUGGGCGGGCGGGUGGUUUGAACAAGCAAACCUAAUCCUAGAGCCUGUCAAGAGAGAUUGACAGCCCAGGAAGGGGCAGCCAGGCUGGAGCCAGACAGGGCCAGAUCCCUAAACUGGCUGCUCCAACUUGGGGCUGAGGGAUUAACCCUGCCCAGUCCUUUCGAAAGGGUGGACACCAGGAUUCUUUGGAUACUCACCAGAAAGGCCCACUUCUCCCCUCAUUACCGUUUGCCUCCUAGGUCCCUAUCCCUGCCCAUCUUGUGUCCCAGGGGCACCCAAAACAGCAGAGAGUAGCACUGAUCCCGGUCCCAGCCCCAGCCCCAGCCCCAGCCCCAUCUUGCAUGUUCGGAGCUUCUUCCCAUGAAACAGAUGGGAACCAUGCUCCCUCUUGACCCCGCCUUCUUCCAUCAGGGCACUCCCAUCCCUCCGGGUAGACAGAGGUAGGCAGUGCAGCCCCUCUUUCUUUCUUUCUUUCUUUCUUUCUUUCUUUCUUUCUUUCUUUCUUUCUUUCUUUCUUUCUCUCUCUCUCUCUCUCUCUCUCUCUCUCUCUCUCUCUCUUUCUCUCUUUCUUUCCUUCCUUUUUUUCUUUCUUCCUUUUUUUAAAAGAUAUAUCUAUAUAUUUUAUGUAUAUGAGUACACUGUAGCUGUCUUCAGACACACCAGAAGAAGGCAUUGGAUUCCAUUACAGAUGGUUGUGAGCCAUCAUGUGGUUGCUGGGAAUUGAACUCAGGACCUCUGGAAGAGCAGUCAGUGUUCUUAACCACUGAGCUAUCUCUCCAGCCCACAGCCCCUCUUUCAAGCAUGCAUCAGUCCAUCAAAACCAAUAUUAAACGCCAGGCAGUGGUGGUGCACGUCUUUAAUCCCAGCACUCGGGAGGCAGAGGCAGGCGGAUUUCUGAGUUUGAGACCAGCCUGGUCUACAAAGUGAGUUCCAGGACAGCCAGG